GGUCAAGUUAUUAAGGGUGCAGGGCGGAUGCCUUGGCACUAGGAGCCGAUGAAGGACGUGAUAAGCUGCGAUAAGCUUCGGGGAGUUGCACGUAAACUUUGAUCCGAAGAUUUCCGAAUGAGGAAACUCACUUAGAGUAAUGUCUAAGUAUCAUUAAGUGAAUACAUAGCUUAAUGAGGGGAACUCAGGGAACUGAAACAUCUAAGUACCUGAAGGAAGAGAAAGAAAUUCGAUUCCGUAAGUAGCGGCGAGCGAACGCGGAUUAGCCCAAACCAAUAAAGUUUUCUUUAUUGGGGUUGCGGACAUAUCAUAACGAAGAGGUAUCGUAAUUGAAGAGGUUUGGAAAGACCCACCACAGAAGGUAAUAGUCCUGUAUGUUAAACGAGAAGACUUCAGAUAUGAUCCAGAGUACCACGGGACACGUGAAACCCUGUGGGAAGCAGGAGGGACCACCCUCCAAGGCUAAAUACUACCUAGUGACCGAUAGCGUAUAGUACCGUGAGGGAAAGGUGAAAAGAACCCCGGGAGGGGAGUGAAAUAGAACCUGAAACCCUGCACUUACAAGCUGUGGAAGCACAUUUCUUGUGUGACCGCGUACUUUUUGUAGAACGGGCCAACGAGUUACGUUAAGUAGCAAGGUUAAGCACUUAAGGUGUGGAGCCGUAGCGAAAGCGAGUUUUAACUGAGCGUUCAGUUACUUGACGUAGACCCGAAACCGGGCGACCUACCCAUGAGCAGGAUGAAGCGAAAGUAAAAUUUCGUGGAGGUCCGAACCCACGAGCGUUGAAAAGCUCGGGGAUGACUUGUGGGUAGCGGUGAAAUUCCAAUCGAGCCCGGAGAUAGCUGGUUCUCCCCGAAAUAGCUUUAGGGCUAGCCUCAAGGUGAGAGAUACGGAGGUAGAGCACUGAAUGUCCUAGGGGGCAUUGCACCUACCGAAGACUAUCAAACUCCGAAUGCCGUCAUCUUAUACUUGGGAGUCAGACUGUGGGUGAUAAGAUUCAUAGUCGAAAGGGCAACAGCCCAGAUCGUCAGCUAAGGUCCCUAAAUGUAAGUUAAGUGGUAAAGGAUGUGGGAUUGGCACAGACAACCAGGAUGUUGGCUUAGAAGCAGCCACUCAUUCAAAGAGUGCGUAAUAGCUCACUGGUCGAGUGAUCCUGCGCCGAAGAUUUCCGGGGCUAAAACUUACUACCGAAGCUACGGCAUCAGUAAUGAUGGGUAGGGGAGCUUCCCAUACGGGUUGAAGCAUGACCGUAAGGACAUGUGGACAGUAUGGGAGUGAGAAUGUUGGCAUGAGUAGCGAGAUGUGGGUGAGAAUCCCACAGGCCGUAAACCCAAGGUUUCCAGGGGAAGGUUCGUCCGCCCUGGGUUAGUCGGGACCUAAGCUGAGGCCGAAAGGCGUAGGUGAUGGACAACAGGUUGAUAUUCCUGUACUACCGAUAACCGUUUGAGAGAAGGGAUGACACAGUAGGAUAAGCUAAGCACACUGUUGGUUAUGUGUGCCCAAGCAUUGAGGCAGUCAAAGUAGGCAAAUCCGCUUUGAUAAUGCUGGGAUGUGAUGGGGAGCGAAAUUUAGUAGCGAAGUAGCUGAUUUCACACUGUCAAGAAAAGUCUCUAUCGAGGUUAAAGGUACCCGUACCGCAAACCGACACAGGUGGGUGAGGAGAGUAUCCUAAGGCCAGCGAGAGAACUGUUGUUAAGGAACUCGGCAAAAUGACCCCGUAACUUAGGGAUAAGGGGUGCCACCAUCAGGUGGCCGCAGAGAAUAGGCCCAAGCGACUGUUUACCAAAAACAUAGGUUUCUGCUAAGUCGCAAGACGAUGUAUAGGAGCUGACGCCUGCCCGGUGCUGGAAGGUUAAGGGGAUCUGUUAGAGCAAUCGAAGCAGUGAACUUAAGCCCCAGUAAACGGCGGCCGUAACUAUAACGGUCCUAAGGUAGCGAAAUUCCUUGUCGGGUAAGUUCCGACCCGCACGAAAGGCGUAACGAUUUGGGCACUGUCUCAACAACAGACUCGGUGAAAUUGUAAUUCCGGUGAAGAUGCCGGAUACCUGCGACAGGACGGAAAGACCCCAUGGAGCUUUACUGUAGCUUGACAUUGGGUUUUGGUACUACAUGUACAGGAUAGGUGGGAGGCUUUGAAACCAGGACGCCAGUUUUGGCGGAGCCAUCCUUGGGAUACCACCCUUGUAGUACUGGGACUCUAACCAUAGGCCAUGAAUCUGGUCUUGGGACACUGUCAGGUGGGCAGUUUGACUGGGGCGGUCGCCUCCCAAAAGGUAACGGAGGCGCUCAAAGGUUCUCUCAGUACGGUCGGAAAUCGUACGUAGAGUGUAAAGGCAAAAGAGAGCUUGAUUGCAAGACAUACAGGUCGAGCAAGGAUGAAAAUCGGACUUAGUGAUCCGGUGGUUCUGCGUGGAAGGGCCAUCGCUCAACGGAUAAAAGCUACCCUGGGGAUAACAGGCUUAUCUCCCCCAAGAGUCCACAUCGACGGGGAGGUUUGGCACCUCGAUGUCGGCUCAUCACAUCCUGGGGCUGUAGUAGGUCCCAAGGGUUGGGCUGUUCGCCCAUUAAAGUGGUACGCGAGCUGGGUUCAGAACGUCGUGAGACAGUUCGGUCCCUAUCCGUCGCAGGCGUAGGAAAUUUGAGAAGACCUGUCCUUAGUACGAGAGGACCGGGAUGGACGUACCUCUGGUGUACCAGUUGUUCUGCCAAGGGCAUGGCUGGGUAGCUAUGUACGGAAUGGAUAAGCGCUGAAAGCAUCUAAGCGCGAAGCCAACUUCAAGAUAAGAUUUCCCACCGCAAGGGUAAGACCCCAGAAAGACUAUCUGGUUGAUAGGUCGAAGGUGUAAGUGCAGCAAUGUAUUUAGCUUAUCGAUACUAAUAGGUCGAGGACUUGACCAA
rnacentral:rRNA from 1 species